rnacentral:misc_RNA from 1 species
AACGCACAUUGCGCCCCGUGGUAUUCCGCGGGGCAUGCCUGUUCGAGCGUCAGUACAACCCUCAAGCUCUGCUUGGUCUUGAGCCCCGCCGGCAACGGCAGGCUUUAAAAUCAGUGGCGGCGCCCCCUGGCUCUAAGCGUAGUAAUACACCCCGCUACAGAGUCCCGGUGGAUGCUUGCCAGCAACCCCCAACUUUCUAAGUUUGACCUCGGAUCAGGUAGGGAUACCCGCUGAACUUAA